rnacentral:rRNA from 1 species
UUGGAGGGCAAGUCUGGUGCCAGCAGCCGCGGUAAUUCCAGCUCCAAUAGCGUAUAUUAAAGUUGUUGCAGUUAAAAAGCUCGUAGUUGAAUUUCGGGGUCAGUAGGUUGGUCGUGCCACCGGUACGUACUGGUCUCACUGAUUCCUCCUUCCUGAUGAGCUGUAAUGCCAUUAAUUUGGUGUUGCAGGGAAUCUGGACUGUUACUUUGAAAAAAUUAGAGUGUUUAAAGCAGGCUCACGCUUGAAUACAUUAGCAUGGAAUAAUGAAAUAGGACAUCCGAUUCUAUUUUGUUGGUUUCUAGGAUCGAUGUAAUGAUUAAUAGGGAUAGUUGGGGGCAUUAGUAUUCAAUUGUCAGAGGUGAAAUUCUUGGAUUUAUUGAAGACUAACUACUGCGAAAGCAUUUGCCAAGGAUGUUUUCAUUAAUCAAGAACGAAAGUUAGGGGAUCGAAGACGAUCAGAUACCGUCGUAGUCUUAACCAUAAACUAUGCCGACUAGGGAUCGGAUGAUGUUAAUUUUUUAAUGACUCAUUCGGCGCCUUACGGGAAAC